GAUGAACGCUGGCGGCAUGCCUUACACAUGCAAGUCGAACGGUAACAGGUCUUCGGAUGCUGACGAGUGGCGAACGGGUGAGUAAUACAUCGGAACGUGCCUAGUAGUGGGGGAUAACUACUCGAAAGAGUGGCUAAUACCGCAUGAGAUCUACGGAUGAAAGCAGGGGAUCGCAAGACCUUGUGCUACUAGAGCGGCCGAUGGCAGAUUAGGUAGUUGGUGGGAUAAAAGCUUACCAAGCCGACGAUCUGUAGCUGGUCUGAGAGGACGAUCAGCCACACUGGGACUGAGACACGGCCCAGACUCCUACGGGAGGCAGCAGUGGGGAAUUUUGGACAAUGGGCGCAAGCCUGAUCCAGCAAUGCCGCGUGCAGGAUGAAGGCCUUCGGGUUGUAAACUGCUUUUGUACGGAACGAAAAGCCCUGGGUUAAUACCCUGGGGUCAUGACGGUACCGUAAGAAUAAGCACCGGCUAACUACGUGCCAGCCGCCGCGGUAA
rnacentral:rRNA from 1 species